AUUCUGACGGGGUAACGACACUCCCCUUUCCCUCAGGUGUGUAGCAUAAAUCAUUGCGGUGGUAGCUAGUUAGCAAAGACGCCGUGUUUUUGAUGCUGUCGAGUGUAGCGUGGGCACACCGCUCUCUCUGUCCCUCUGUUUGUGGUUGAGCCACCGUACAGGAAAGCCCUGUCCAUCGGCGGCUGGCGUGGGGUCGGCUGCUGUUCUGGGAUGGUGUGCUGAGCUGGGCAAACUCAAGUGUCGCUGGUGAUGUUCUUCCACUUUGUGUCCUGUGUGGUUGACUGCUUGCAUGCCGCUUCGAGAGAACCAGAGGAGGAGAUGGUGCCUUCGACUACACUGAUGCAGUGUCACUAGAGAAGGGGGGCAUCACUGUUCUUUUCCCAACCUUUUGUUUUGUUUUGUCCUAUUGUGUGAGUGAUUCAUCCUGUGCAACCUUUUCACUUUGACGUCCGAGACGAAGGGGCUUGUGUAAGUUUCACUCUAACAUACGAGACGAAGGGGCUCGUGUAAGUUUCUACUUAGUAACCGCCAAGACGGAGCUUGUGUAUAUGAUUAGGGUAUGAACACUGAAGUAUUACUGGGAGACGUAUCUUAAAUCUCAGACUCCUUUUGGAACCUAUACUUGCUGUAGGGGGAGACCAAAGACGUGUGUCUAACAGGCUUGUGUGUGUGUGUGGUGGCCAUUACCAAUCUUGCCCUUUUGGCAGUUUGUUUUCUUUUUUUACAAUUUGAUUUACUAACUUGUUUGCCGUGCAAUUUUUGUUAUUUGGUCUACCUCUCGUGCAACUAGCACAUUUGCACAAUUUUGUAUAUUGAGAUGACGUGCCUAAGGAUACUGUAAAAGCUUCAUAUUCUAUUUGUUAUAAUUGACUGAGCCCGUGAGGCAUAUUUUCAGAUACAGAGACUCAUUACGAAAAGAAAGAAAAUAAAAAGAACUCUGAAUUGUAUGACAGUUGUAUCUCUUGUUAUUCACUAACCUGUUGCGGGGAAAGUCAAAUCAAGUGUUUGAUGGUUGGGUUCUCUCACCCUGACAAAUGAGAGUGGCGUAGUCACUAAACAUCUUAAAAACAUCUAAAAAUAUAAAAAAUAUUACGGUAAAGAGAUAACGCAGGCCACAUUUGGCGUAGUCGGCAGGAUAACUAAGUGGAUACAGCUGUCUACAAUUGUUAGUGGUGGGUUUUGUAUGCAUUUGGUUUUGUUUUGUUUUGUUGGGAAAAGAACAGUGAUUACCCCCAGCCAGCGGAGGGCCCCACCGAUGAUCACCGGCAGGGGUGCUGGCAUAGCCGACGGCCAAGCUGCGAGAGAAGCAUGGAAGGACUGUCUGAGUUGAAGCAGAUGGUAGCGCAUCGGCAAGGGCAGCUGGAUGUGCUGUCAAGGUGGCUGGGCAUUUCCCAGCAACCUCAACCUCAACCGGAGUCGCAGGAGGCUGGCUUCACGUGGGAGAGCCAGCAUCGGGGGCACCCGGUGAGAGACCGUGAUGGGCAACGGGCCUCUGUGGGUGCGCAGCGCUCGCCGACAGCCCACUCAGGGGGCAAUGGGCAGGCCUCCAACCGCAGGCGCAGACUGUCAUUUAGUGGACCGGAGAGUAACCGUCCAAGA